rnacentral:rRNA from 1 species
UGGGGAAUUUUGGACAAUGGGGGAAACCCUGAUCCAGCCAUCCCGCGUGUGCGAUGAGGGCCUUCGGGUUGUAAAGCACUUUUGGCAGGAAAGAAACGUCAUGGGUUAAUACCCCGUGAAACUGACGGUACCUGCAGAAUAAGCACCGGCUAACUACGUGCCAGCAGCCGCGGUAAUACGUAGGGUGCAAGCGUUAAUCGGAAUUACUGGGCGUAAAGCGUGCGCAGGCGGUUCGGAAAGAAAGAUGUGAAAUCCCAGAGCUCAACUUUGGAACUGCAUUUUUAACUACCGGGCUAGAGUGUGUCAGAGGGAGGUGGAAUUCCGCGUGUAGCAGUGAAACGCGUAGAUAUGCGGAGGAACACCGAUGGCGAAGGCAGCCUCCUGGGAUAACACUGACGCUCAUGCACGAAAGCGUGGGGAGCAAACAGG